UAGGGCUUCACACGUCAUACAAUGGUCGGUACAGAGGGUUGCCAAGCCGCGAGGUGGAGCCAAUCCCAGAAAGCCGAUCGUAGUCCGAAUUGUUCUCUGCAACUCGAGAGCAUGAAGUCGGAAUCGCUAGUAAUCGCGGAUCAGCAUGUCGCGGUGAAUACGUUCCCGGGCCUU
rnacentral:rRNA from 1 species